rnacentral:rRNA from 1 species
GCAGCCGCGGUAAUACGUAGGGGGCAAGCGUUGUCCGGAAUUAUUGGGCGUAAAGCGCGCGCAGGCGGUCUGUUAAGUCUGGAGUAUAAACCUAGGGCUCAACCUUGGGUCGCUCCGGAAACUGGGAGACUGGAGUGCAGGAGAGGAAAGUGGAAUUCCACGUGUAGCGGUGAAAUGCGUAGAGAUGUGGAGGAACACCAGUGGCGAAGGCGACUUUCUGGCCUGUAACUGACGCUGAGGCGCGAAAGCGUGGGGAGCAAACAGG